rnacentral:rRNA from 1 species
GUGGGGAAUCUUGCGCAAUGGGCGAAAGCCUGACGCAGCCAUGCCGCGUGAAUGAUGAAGGUCUUAGGAUUGUAAAAUUCUUUCACCGGGGACGAUAAUGACGGUACCCGGAGAAGAAGCCCCGGCUAACUUCGUGCCAGCAGCCGCGGUAAUACGAAGGGGGCUAGCGUUGCUCGGAAUUACUGGGCGUAAAGGGCGCGUAGGCGGACAGUUUAGUCAGAGGUGAAAGCCCAGGGCUCAACCUUGGAAUUGCCUUUGAUACUGGCUGUCUUGAGUACGGGAGAGGUGAGUGGAACUCCGAGUGUAGAGGUGAAAUUCGUAGAGAUUCGGAAGAACACCAGUGGCGAAGGCGACUCACUGGCCCGUUACUGACGCUGAGGCGCGAAGGCGUGGGGAGCAAACAGGAUUAGAUACCCUGGUAGUCC